UCAGAUUGAACGCUGGCGGCAGGCCUAACACAUGCAAGUCGAGCGGUAACACAAGGGAGCUUGCUCCUGAGGUGACGAGCGGCGGACGGGUGAGUAAUGCCUAGGGAUCUGCCCAGUCGAGGGGGAUAACAGUUGGAAACGACUGCUAAUACCGCAUACGCCCUACGGGGGAAAGGAGGGGACCUUCGGGCCUUCCGCGAUUGGAUGAACCUAGGUGGGAUUAGCUAGUUGGUGAGGUAAUGGCUCACCAAGGCGACGAUCCCUAGCUGUUCUGAGAGGAUGAUCAACCACACUGGGACUGAGACAUUAAG
rnacentral:rRNA from 1 species